rnacentral:rRNA from 1 species
AGUGAACGCUGGCGGUAGGCCUAACACAUGCAAGUCGAGCGGAUGAACAGUACUUGCUUGUUGUUUCAGCGGCCGACUGGCGGGUGAGUGCUAGGUACCUCCCUAUCUGUUUUUUAUUACGGCAUGACGUAGGGGCUCAUACCGUAUUACUGCAGACGAAGUACGGGUGGAAUCAUCGGACCUUCCGCUCUCGCAUGAUCCUAUGACGGGAUGUCGGAUUAGCUAGUUGGUGGGGUAAAGGCCCACCAAGGCGACGAUCCGUAGCUGGUCUGAGAGGAUGAUCAGCCACACUGGAACUGAGACACGGUCCAGACUCCUACGGGAGGCAGCAGUGGGGAAUAUUGGACAAUGGGCGCAAGCCUGAUCCAGCCAUACCGCGUGUGUGAAGAAGGUCUUCGGAUUGUAAAGCCCUUUUAUUGGGGAAGAAAAGCAGUAAGUUAAUACCCCGCUGUUUUGACGGUACCAAAAGAAUAAGCACCGGCUAACUUCGUG